rnacentral:rRNA from 1 species
GAUGAACGCUGGCGGCGUGCCUAAUACAUGCAAGUCGAGCGAACAGACGAGGAGCUUGCUCCUCUGACGUUAGCGGCGGACGGGUGAGUAACACGUGGAUAACCUACCUAUAAGACUGGGAUAACUUCGGGAAACCGGAGCUAAUACCGGAUAAUAUAUUGAACCGCAUGGUUCAAUAGGGAAAGACGGUUUUGCUGUCACUUAUAGAUGGAUCCGCGCCGCAUUAGCUAGUUGGUAAGGUAACGGCUUACCAAGGCAACGAUGCGUAGCCGACCUGAGAGGGUGAUCGGCCACACUGGAACUGAGACACGGUCCAGACUCCUACGGGAGGCAGCAGUAGGGAAUCUUCCGCAAUGGGCGAAAGCCUGACGGAGCAACGCCGCGUGAGUGAUGAAGGUCUUCGGAUCGUAAAACUCUGUUAUUAGGGAAGAACAAAUGUGUAAGUAACUAUGCACGUCUUGACGGUACCUAAUCAGAAAGCCACGGCUAACUACGUG